AUCUAUGGCCAUACCUCCCUGAAUGUGUCUGAUCUUGUCUGAUCUCGGAAGCCAAGGAGGGUCGGGCCUGAUUAGUACUUGGAUGGGAGAAUGAAUAGAUACACCUUGGCUAAAGGAA
ensembl:rRNA 5S_rRNA 5S ribosomal RNA